AACGAACGCUGGCGGCGUGGAUUAGGCAUGCAAGUCGAACGCGAAAGUGGGAGCAAUCCCAUGAGUAGAGUGGCGCACGGGUGAGUAUCGCGUGGGUAAUCUACCCUUGGAUUCAGGAUAACACUUCGAAAGGGGUGCUAAUACUGGAUAACAUCCUGAUGGUUUAGGCCAUAAGGAUCAAAGAUAGCCUCUACAUGUAAGCUAUUGUUCAGGGAUGAGCCCGCGUACCAUUAGCUAGUUGGUGGGGUAAGGGCCUACCAAGGCAACGAUGGUUAGCUGGUCUGAGAGGAUGAUCAGCCACACUGGAACUGAAACACGGUCCAGACUCCUACGGGAGGCUG
rnacentral:rRNA from 1 species